rnacentral:lncRNA from 10 species
GCGGCCGCGGCCGGAGGAGCAAUAGCAGCAGCCGUGGCGGCCACGGGGCGGGGCGCGGCGGUCGGUGACCGCGGCCGGGGCUGCAGGCGGCGGAGCGGCUGGCUUGCCAACACUUGGUGUCACAUGUGAGCCUCCCACAUGUAUUCACUCUCCAUUCCAGCUCUGUGAUUGAACUCUGCUCUUAUUGACUAGGGGGCAGUUGGGCAGGCAUGCCUCAUUCCUGGAAUUGACAGUCAUUCCUAAUAAGUUGGAUUCCAUGGGUUCCAAGAGAAGAAGAGCUACCUCCCCUUCCAGCAGUGUCAGCGGGGACUUUGAUGAUGGGCACCAUUCUGUGUCAACACCAGGCCCAAGCAGGAAAAGGAGGAGACUUUCCAAUCUUCCAACUGUAGAUCCUAUUGCCGUGUGCCAUGAACUCUAUAAUACCAUCCGAGACUAUAAGGAUGAACAGGGCAGACUUCUCUGUGAGCUCUUCAUUAGGGCACCAAAGCGAAGAAAUCAACCAGACUAUUAUGAAGUG